rnacentral:misc_RNA from 2 species
UGUGGGAGCUGGCUUGCCUGCGAUAGCGGUGUGUCAGUUAGCAAUGAUUUGACUGAUAGACCGCUAUCGCAGGCAAGCCAGCUCCCACA